GAUGAAGAACGUAGCGAAAUGCGAUAAGUAAUGUGAAUUGCAGAAUUCAGUGAAUCAUCGAAUCUUUGAACGCACAUUGCGCCCGUCAGUAUUCUGGCGGGCAUGCCUGUUCGAGCGUCAUUACGCCCCUCAAGUCCCCUGUGGACUUGGUGUUGGGGAUCGGCGAGGCUGGUUUUCCAGCACAGCCGUCCCUUAAAUUAAUUGGCGGUCUCGCCGUGGCCCUCCUCUGCGCAGUAGUAAAACACUCGCAACAGGAGCCCGGCGCGGUCCACUGCCGUAAAACCCCCCAACUUUUUAUAGUUGACCUCGAAUCAGGUAGGACUACUCGCUGAACUUAAGCAUAUCAAUAAGCGGAGGA
rnacentral:misc_RNA from 1 species